rnacentral:rRNA from 1 species
CAGGCCAGCAUCAGUUUGAGUGGUUAGAUAAAGGCUUAGAGAAUGUGGCCCUCUUCGGGGGGUGUUAUAGCUCUAGGUGCAAUGUAGCCUACUUGGACUGAGGACCGCGCUUCGGCUAGGAUGCUGGCGUAAUGGUUGUAAGCGA